rnacentral:rRNA from 1 species
AUUGAACGCUGGCGGCAUGCCUUACACAUGCAAGUCGAACGGCAGCACGGGUGCUUGCACCUGGUGGCGAGUGGCGAACGGGUGAGUAAUAUAUCGGAACGUACCUUAUUGUGGGGGAUAACGCAGCGAAAGCUGUGCUAAUACCGCAUAAUCUCUCAGGGGGAAAGCGGGGGACCGUAAGGCCUCGCGCAAUUAGAGCGGCCGAUACCUGAUUAGCUAGUUGGUGAGGUAAAGGCUCACCAAGGCAACGAUCAGUAGCUGGUCUGAGAGGACGAUCAGCCACACUGGGACUGAGACACGGCCCAGACUCCUACGGGAGGCAGCAGUGGGGAAUUUUGGACAAUGGGGGCAACCCUGAUCCAGCAAUGCCGCGUGAGUGAAGAAGGCCUUCGGGUUGUAAAGCUCUUUUGUCAGGGAAGAAACAGCAGCUCUAACACAGUAUGCGAAUGACGGUACCUGAAGAAUAAGCACCGGCUAACUACGUGCCAGCAGCCGCUGUAA